rnacentral:rRNA from 1 species
AUGGAACCGCCGGAUCGUCCACGCAAGAGGAAUCUGCCAUGUGUGCAAGGUGAAGGCGAUGGAAAGAAGAAAAAGCCAAGAUCCGUCGGACCCAGUGAAGGAUCCAUCGAUGGAGCCCGUGCUCGAGGCAAGGGCACUUCUCCAGCCACCCCCAAUGCCUCGGGAGGAGCUGCUGCCGUUGGGGAGGUGCCGAACGACGCUACCAGGAAAAGGAGGGGAGAGCUGGUCAAUGACAACAACCAAAGGUCGUCGAGACGGCGUGUAUCUCGGCGUACGCUUGUGUUGGUUCAUGGGUAUCCACAUCAGGCCAGUCAAGUAAUACCAUUUGUGCCGCCGGGCCUACUAGCCGAAUCGACAGUACUCCAUGGUAGAGUUGUAAGGUGUACUUGGAGCUGUCAGCAUGUCCUCUGA